AUGCGUCAAAAGAGAUAUGCAAAUAGGGGCAGCAGGAAGUGUCGCCAGAGAAUACGGCGUACACCAUCAAGCAGGCACUCAUCAUCCUCAGGGAGCUCGGCUGAAGAUGGAGAUAAUGUUGACAGCCGCAAACAAACUACGAGAUUUCGACGACAGAAUGCUUCAUCCCAUGUUGUUGCGGUUGGUUCGGCAAACCAACCACCAAGCGUGCUAAGGGGGGCAACGAUGCCAGUGGGCAUGACCGUGCGUGGAAGCAGCAAUGAAUUGUCUUCCCAGGGAUUACAAUUGCAGCUAGAGGAGAGAGCUCGGCUGCAGCAAUGCGUACUUCAGCAGGAGAGACGAUGCAUACAUGGUUGGGAACGAAUUGGAGUGGCGGUACCAGCUCAAAUUGAUUGGAAGGCCAAUCUAUGGGGGAUCCACAAGUCUACGAACAGGAGGAGCAGUGUUGGGGGAGAUUGGUAG
rnacentral:rRNA from 1 species